UANUAAUAAGCGGAGGAAAAGAAACUAACAAGGAUUCCCUUAGUAACGGCGAGCGAAAAGGGAAAAGCCCAGCGCUGAAUCUAAUGUCCCCCGGGCAUUUAGAGCUGUAGCGUUUGGGACGAAACAUUGCCUGUGCUCGGUGGUCAUCCAAGUCCCUCUUGAAGGGGGCCAUUGCCCGUGGAGGGUGCUAGGCCCGUACGAUGACUAGUGAAUGAGUGCAGUGCGUUUCGUCCGUAGAGUCGAGUUGCUUGGGAGUGCAGCUCAAAUCAGGUGGUAAACUCCAUCUAAGGCUAAAUAUGACCACGAGACCGAUAGCGAACAAGUACCGUGAGGGAAAGUUGAAAAGAACUUUGAAGAGAGAGUUCAAUAGUACGUGAAACCUCUCGGGGGUAAGCGGGCAGAACUUGCAAGUAUCUUGUCGAGAAGAUUCAGGCUUAGCUUUUCGCGGCUGAGGGUGCAGUAUUGUACGGUUCAUUCGUGGACUGUUGGUUUGUGCUCUUUGCUCCGUGGAAGAUGCGCCGCAUUUCUUUUCGACAAUCGGGUUGCGAGCAACUGAGUUGUGGCAAUCUAAGUGCUAUGGGGUACUGUGGACCCUUGUGGUCCAAGUCCUAAGUAACUAAUUGCUAUUGCGGUUGUAAGAAUAAAAACAAACGGGCCUUUCGUGGGCGGUCAAACUUUUGUGCGAGUUUUGUACAUAUUGAUGUGUGGACGGGUAACCGUAGCACGUUGGUUGUGCGAGUUGUCGGCAUGAGGGUUUUGGCACUGUUUGUGGAGAUUGCAAUCUAAAGAAUGCGUGGUCUGCCUGU
rnacentral:rRNA from 1 species